GGGGCCAUGGUUUAGUGGCUAGAAUACUUCGUUGUGGCCGAAGAGACCCGUGUUCGAUUCACGGUGGUCCCA
rnacentral:tRNA from 1 species